AUACGUAGGUGGCAAGCGUUGUCCGGAUUUAUUGGGCGUAAAGCGAGUGCAGGCGGUCUUUUAAGUCUGAUGUGAAAGCCUUCGGCUUAACCGAAGAAGGGCAUCGGAAACUGGGAGACUUGAGUGCAGAAGAGGAGAGUGGAGCUCCAUGUGUAGCGGUGAAAUGCGUAGAUAUUAGGAGGAACACCAGUGGCGAAGGCGACUUUCUGGACUGUAACUGACGCUGAGGCUCGAAAGCCAGGGGAGC
rnacentral:rRNA from 1 species